GGGGAGGUUUGUUCGGGAGUUACUGGGCGUAAGGGUGUGUAGGCGGUUGCUUAAGUUUGGUGUGAAAUCUCCCGGCUCAACCGGGAGGGUGCGCCGAAUACUGAGUAACUCGAGUGCGGGAGAGGAGAGUGGAAUUCCUGGUGUAGCGGUGAAAUGCGUAGAUAUCAGGAGGAACACCGGUGGUGUAGACGGCUCUCUGGACCGUAACUGACGCUGAGACACGAAAGCGUGGGUAGCAAACAGGAUUAGAUACCCUGGUAGUCCACGCCCUAAACGAUGCAUAUUUGGUGUGGGCAGUUCAUUCUGUCCGUGCCGGAGCUAACGCGUUAAAUAUGCCGCCUGGGGAGUACAGUCGCAAGGCUGAAACUCAAAGGAAUUGACGGGGGCCCGCACAAGCGGUGGAGCAUGUGGUUCAAUUCGACGCAACGCGAAGAACCUUACCUGGGCUCGAACGGCUGGUCAACGGAGGCGGAAACGCUUUUACCCCGCAAGGGGGUCCAGUCGAGGUGCUGCAUGGCUGUCGUCAGCUCGUGUCGUGAGAUGUUGGGUUAAGUCCCGCAACGAGCGCAACCCUUGUCCUGUGUUGCCAUCAUUCAGUUGGGAACUCGCAGGAGACCGCCAGCGAUAAGCUGGAGGAAGGUGGGGAUGACGUCAAGUCCUCAUGGCCUUUAUGUCCAGGGCUACACACGUGCUACAAUGGGCGGUACAAAGCGCCGCGAACCCGCGAGGGGGAGCCAAUCGCAAAAAACCGCUCUCAGUUCGGAUUGCAGGCUGCAACUCGCCUGCAUGAAGCUGGAAUCGCUAGUAAUGGCAGAUCAGCACGCUGCCGUGAAUACGUUCCCGGGCCUUGUACACACCGCCCGUCACAUCACGAAAGUGGAUUGUACUAGAAGACUGCAGGCUGACCCGCAAGGGGGGCAGCGGCCCAAGGUAUGAUCCAUGAUUGGGGUGAAGUCGUAACAAGGUAAC
rnacentral:rRNA from 1 species